rnacentral:rRNA from 1 species
UACGUAGGGUGCAGGCGUUAAUCGGAAUUACUGGGCGUAAAGCGUGCGCAGGCGGUUUGCUAAGACAGGUGUGAAAUCCCCGGGCUUAACCUGGGAACUGCGCUUGUAACUGGCAAGCUAGAGUGUGGCAGAGGGGGGUGGGAAUUCCGCGUGUAGCAGUGAAAUGCGUAGAUAUGCGGAGGAACACCGAUGGCGAAGGCAAUCCCCUGGACCUGUACUGACGCUCAUGCACGAAAGCGUGGGGAGCAAACAGG